rnacentral:rRNA from 1 species
UACGGAAGGCAGCAGUGGGGAAUAUUGCACAAUGGGCGCAAGCCUGAUGCAGCGACGCCGCGUGAGGGAUGACGGCCUUCGGGUUGUAAACCUCUUUCAGUAGGGAAGAAGCGAAAGUGACGGUACCUGCAGAAGAAGCACCGGCUAACUACGUGCCAGCAGCCGCGGUAAUACGUAGGGUGCGAGCGUUAUCCGGAAUUAUUGGGCGUAAAGAGCUCGUAGGCGGUUUUGUCGCGUCUGUCGUGAAAGUCCGGGGCUUAACCCCGGAUCUGCGGUGGGUACGGGCAGACUAGAGUGCAGUAGGGGAGACUGGAAUUCCUGGUGUAGCGGUGGAAUGCGCAGAUAUCAGGAGGAACACCGGAUGGCGAAGGCAGGUCUCUGGGCUGUAACUGACGCUGAGGAGCGAAAGCAUGGGGAGCGAACAGGGAUUAGAUACC